CCACACACACACACACACACACACACGCAGGGGACGCCGGCCCCCACCACCUCCCCACCCACUCCAUGGAGAGGCAGAGGAGGAGCCUGGAGGCCAGGGGGACAAUGGAAAAGCCCAGCACGGGAAGUCAGCCACUGUCAUCUCAGAGUGGGUGGGGCUGUGCGUAUCUCCUGGAUUCUGAGGCUCGGAAAACUCGGUGGGAACUGCCUUCAACUGACUACACCACUCCCUGAUGAUGCUUGAGGGCCGGCUUUGGCUCUGGGACCUGUCACUUCUCCGACACGGACCCGACCCGUUCCUCUCCAGGCAGGUGGUGGGUGGGGGCAGGAACAGGAGGCCGGGCAGGCCCUGGCGU
rnacentral:lncRNA from 10 species